AAAAACGCAGUCUGGGCUAAGCAAUUUACAUGUUAAAUACAAGAACACCUUAGCCCCCAUUGACCUAUUAUAUAUGGACUGCUAGUUGAUUCUCGUUUCCAUACAAAAUUUUUGAAAAUGUGGUUCAAUGAUUACUAGCGCCUGUGGAAGAAAGUGGUAAAUAGAACUCAGUUAGGGUAGCGACAUCUUCCGUCAGAUUGCUUGAACUACCAUUUUUGUGCAUAGAAACUAUGGCCAUCUACAUUUUUUUGCUAUAAAAAUCAGUAGCACCUGUCUUUUUUGAAGUCUACUUUUUGACGUUUUGGAAGAAAAGAAUUCUUUCAGAAAAAAAAUUAUUUUAAAAUGUUUGUGCGAAAAAAGUGAUUGCUUCUUGGAGCUACCAUUUGCAGUGAAAGAUAUCGUUUAAUGAAAAGACCAAUAAUCAUGAUGUUGAAGUUAUCCAUGGACUUUAAAGAUUCACUUCUUUUCAUCACAAUAGGUACACAACUUUUCAUGGUUUUUGAAUGUGAAAUGAUCACCCGUGGAAUGGUUAUUUGCUGCGUGACCUGCUAGCACAGAUGCCUUUGCUGUGAGGAAGUCAAUGUUAAGCAAGAAAUUGUUUUGGUAUUAAAAAAUCGAGAAAUUCAGUUUAAUGCACCUCUACGCAACUCUUCAAUAAACGAUUCAUUGCACCUAUAUGUGAAACGAGUUUUCUCAGUUCUAUCAUUUGAUCGUGGAGUACAAAUCAUUCUUCGAAAAGAGAAUACAAAAAAAUCUCAGUUUGUUCUCACGGUCAGAGAUUCAACGUUAAGUUAUGACUAUACCACAGCGUGCACAUCGUAUUAAUUUAGCGAAUCGUAUUGAAGCACUUCGCACAGGAGUAUGAAGUAGAUGAAAAUAUUAUAACAUAGCCCGGCCAAGAAGUCCUACGCACAUAUUUAUUCGAAACUGAUUUUUACUAUCCAUGCCUUUUUAUAUUUAAUAAAAAAACAAAACAAAAAUUAAAACGAAAAGUUACCUUAAU